CGUGGGUCUACAAACCUGUCACGCGGAUUGCAGAUGAAUGUGCGCUGUGCCACAGGUAUCGCUGACAGAAAACGAACUGAACCCCAGAGAGAGGCGCACACAAGUUUUCAAGAGACGCAGUAACGACAGUAACGACAGCAGCGACAGCGACUUCGGGGCCAACGUCCCUCAACUCGCAGACCUCCGAUCGAGGGGACAGGUGCCCACCGUUCAUUUCCUUAAAAACAGUCCGAAGGAAGAAGAAGAAGAAAAAAAAAGUAGAGAAAGUCUCUGCAGCAGGUUGCUUGCUGUACAAUAGCUGACGUGCAGCAGUCCGUGUGUAAGCGACAUGUGGCAAUUAGCCUGACGAGUCGUCAGGUGUGCUGGGAGCAGAACAGGUGAGCAAGGUGGGGUGUAGGGGGAGAGCGUGACGACUGUGGUUACGAAGGCGUGCUGUGAAAUUCACUUCAAGUCCCUCGGCGACCUGCACCGCCAGGCAGAGACACAGGUACAGGGAGAUAUGGACUGGAGUCACAGCAUGGACCACGACACCGACAAACAAGAGGCUCAUGAUCAUUCGUUUUUCCACGCGGGACACCGCGAGACAUUGCUGUUCUCCACUGCGGUCAUCUCGUCGGAAGAACAUCUGGCUGGGGCAUGUAUAGUCAUUUUCAUAGCUGCACUGGUACAUGAAGGCCUCAGGCUGCUGGUCAACUGGCUCCAGAUGUUUUCUGCUACACGUCCACCACGCAAGAUGGUCCGACUGGGGAUCCUGGGAUUGACUCAGACGGGAGCAUAUGUGGUGUACCUGUCCCUUAGCUACUGCUUGAUGCUGGUCUUCAUGACAAUGAACAUCUGGUUCUGUCUGGCACUGCUGCUUGGGGCUGGCACUGGUUAUCUGCUGUUCUUCUUUCACCCAGUGGCCAACCGGCUGUUAAACUCCCUCAGGCGUCAUCAAGAUAAAUAUGAGGACAUGAAAUCGGAGGUGACGACGAUAUAUGGGUCAAAUGAGAAACAAGCUGAUAACAUUGCCCUAGGUAAUGUGGGCAGUUGUCACUGAAGCAGUAUGCAUUUGUAAUUUUAACAUCUGUUCCUGGAAGUGACGUGAGCGAAGAAGCACCAGACUUCUUCUUGUAUGUGGAUUCAAUGGAGUGUUAAUGUUAAAGUACUUGUGCAAGCCAGGAAAAGGUGUGUAUGCAUGAAGUUUUGUAGUGAAAAUAAACAGAAUCAUGCAAAUCAUAUUUAUCUUCAUUAAUAUUCACUUUCACAAAAAACUAAUAUUACUCUUCUCCAAAAAUAUCCUCAAAUAUUUUUAUUUAUGACAAAAAUGUUGAAUAUAGUUUAUAAUUUUAAAUGCAUAAGUGUAAAUAAAUAGAAUCCUGUGGAUAACAUAAAAAUCUGUUCUAACCAACCUUGCCCCCUUGUCAGGGACCUUCUCACAACUUAUGAAGGGUACACAGACCCAGAAAAAUGGCAUUUCAAAAUUAUUUAGUGUGAAACAAUGCCUUUUCCUGCUGCAUUUCACAAACAUAAAAGAUGCCAAGAUACCUACUGUAAUCACUAUCAUGCAAUAAUCAUAAUGAUAUGUUCUUUUAAAAUCUCUCACAAAAUACUUUCUGUUCAGGGUAGAAUAUCUUCAUCAAUCUUUCUCUUUCUUUGUGCUUAAUAUUCCUUAAAUAAUUCAUCUGUUACUUGCAUUUGAAAACUGCAAUUGAGUUGACUGCAUUCUCAUAUGACUGAAGUGCACAUAUAAGACAAUAAACACAAAACACUGAAAUUAAAACAACAGAUUAGUGGGACAUCAACCAAAAUAUGCAUAUAUAGCUUUAGGGGGGGGGGGGCUGCCCAAAACUGGGUUUGCUGGCGAGGUGUUGUUGCGUCUCUAUGCUCCUCAAUGGAGCAACAAGGAAUAAACUAAACUAUAUAUAGCUUUUGCAUUUUCAGAUGAUGAUGCUGAAUCACAACCAUGGUUUUGUUUUUUUUGAAAAAUAUGCACUGAGUCAACAUAUUUUUAAUAAAUGUCCUGAUAUUUUCAUUUGUCCAAUGCUAGAACAGAAGAUUAAGCAACAUGACUACCUGGCAUCUCAACUACAAGGCUUAUUUGGUUCAUAUCUGUUAGUCACUGUUGCUGAUGCUGAUAAAAUAUAUAACACUGCAAAAACAUAUUAAACAUAUAAUUUAAAAAGAAAGUAACAUAGGGAGUAGUGUUACAAUGUAACAGUCCUCAAACCAAAUCACAAAUAACUUUCAAAAACAGAAAAAAAAAAGUUUUUCUCUCUCAUUCACAACACAGCCACACACCUCUAUGUUCAUGUGGCAAUGCACAAACUCUGUUACUGUCACUAUUUUAAGAUGCAGAUGAAGUGCAAGGACAAAUAAUUAUCCUUUGCAUCAGCGUGCAGCAGACACAUGCAAAUCAGUUUCAUAAGGCACAUUAAAAGAUCUUCCACUUACAGCAUGUCUUGAUUAUAAGAGCAGCCAAGCUUAUGCUUUCUACAGACCUAAUUUUUUAUAUUAAAAAAUAAAGCCUUGCACAAUGCUGCUAAAAUCCUAUAAACAUAGCAUAAAAGAGCUGAAUAUGUUAGCCAUACUGAUAUGUUUGUGCCAUUUUACAAAUCAAAAACAUUUUGGUUUGAUGUUAUUGGUAUCAAAGAUAUUUCUAUUUCACCUCAAAAUAAUAUCUGAAGA
rnacentral:misc_RNA from 1 species